ACCCACAGCUACUGGUCUGGAACUGUUCUGAAAUGUAACAGUUGCAGUAUUCCAUCUGUGGGAAAUAAACUGUUACUGUAUCAUGUCCUUUUUGGGUCAGCUGAAAAGGACUUUCUCUGUAACAGACAAGA
ensembl:snoRNA small nucleolar RNA SNORA41